rnacentral:rRNA from 1 species
GCAAGUCGAACGAGAAAGUACCUUCGGGUAUGAGUACAGUGGCGGACGGGUGAGUAACGCGUAGGAAUCUACCUAGUAGCGGGGGAUAACUUGGGGAAACUCAAGCUAAUACCGCAUACGCUCUACGGAGGAAAGGGGCCCUCUCCUUGGAAGGUCUCACUAUUAGAGGAGCCUGCGUUGGAUUAGCUAGUUGGUGGGGUAAAGGCCCACCAAGGCGACGAUCUAUAGCUGGUCUGAGAGGAUGAUC